CCAGCAAUGGGUCUGUAUAUAGGUGCUGCAUGGCUGUCGUCAGCUCGUGUCGUGAGAUGUUGGGUUAAGUCCCGCAACGAGCGCAACCCUUAUCUCCAGUUGCUACCAUUUAGUUGAGCACUCUGGCGAAACCGCCUCGGAUAACGGGGAGGAAGGUGGGGAUGACGUCAAGUCCUCAUGGCCUUUAUGUCCAGGGCUACACACGUGCUACAAUGGCCGGUACAAACCGCUGCAACCCCGCGAGGGUGAGCUAAUCGGAAAAAGCCGGCCUCAGUUCGGAUUGGAGUCUGCAACUCGACUCCAUGAAGCUGGAAUCGCUAGUAAUCGUGGAUCAGCAUGCCACGGUGAAUACGUUCCCGGGCCUUGUACACACCGCCCGUCACAUCACGAAAGUGGGUUGCACUAGAAGUCGGUGCGCUAACCGCAAGGGAG
rnacentral:rRNA from 1 species